GACGAACGCUGGCGGCGUGCUUAACACAUGCAAGUCGAACGGAAAGGCCCUGCUGUUGUGGGGUGCUCGAGUGGCGAACGGGUGAGUAACACGUGAGUAACCUGCCCUUGACUUUGGGGUAACUUCAGGAAACUGGGGCUAAUACCGGAUAGGAGCUCCUGCUGCAUGGUGGGGGUUGGAAAGUUUCGGCGGUUGGGGAUGGAAUCGCGGCUUAUCAGCUUGUUGGUGGGGUAGUGGCUUACCAAGGCUUUGACGGGUAGCCGGCCUGAGAGGGUGACCGGCCACAUUGGUCCUGAGAUACGGCCCAGAGUCCUACGUGGGGCAGCGGUGGGGAAUAUUGCACAAUGGGCGGAAGCCUGAUGCAGCAACGUCGCGUGCGGGAUGACGGCUUUCGGGUUGUAAACCGCUUUCGCCUGUGACGAAGCGUGAGUGACGGUAAUGGAUAAAGAAGCACCGGCUAACUACGUG
rnacentral:rRNA from 1 species